AACGCGAAGAACCUUACCAGGGUUUGACAUGUACGUGGUAGGAAGCCGAAAGGUGACUGACCCUUCGGGGAGCGUACACAGGUGCUGCAUGGCUGUCGUCAGCCCGUGCCGUGAGGUGUUAGGUUAAGUCCUGUAACGAGCGCAACCCUCGUCGUUAGUUACAUGUGUCUAACGAGACUGCCGGCGAUAAGCCGGAGGAAGGUGGGGAUGAUGUCAAGUCAGCAUGGCCUUUAUAUCCUGGGCUACACACACGCUACAAUGGCCGGUACAAUGGGUUGCCAAGCCGCGAGGCGGAGCCAAUCCCCCAAAGCCGGUCUCAGUUCGGAUUGCAGGCUGCAACUCGCCUGCAUGAAGUCGGAGUUGCUAGUAAACGCGCGUCAGCAAUAGUGCGUUGAAUACGUUCCCGGGUCUUGUACACACCG
rnacentral:rRNA from 1 species